GAUAACUCCGGGAAACCGGUGCUAAUACCGAAUAGUUUUCGCCACCUCCUGGUGGCGUACGGAAAGACGGUUUCGGCUGUCACUGCAGGAUGGGCCCGCGGCGCAUUAGCUAGUUGGUGGGGUAACGGCCCACCAAGGCAACGAUGCGUAGCCGACCUGAGAGGGUGAUCGGCCACACUGGGACUGAGACACGGCCCAGACUCCUACGGGAGGCAGCAGUAGGGAAUCUUCCGCAAUGGACGAAAGUCUGACGGAGCAACGCCGCGUGAGUGACGAAGGUUUUCGGAUCGUAAAACUCUGUUGUGAGGGAAGAACAAGUACCAACUAACUACUGGUACCUUGACGGUACCUCACCAGAAAGCCACGGCUAACUACGUGCCAGCAGCCGCGGUAAUACGUAGGUGGCAANAGNNCNNGUUNGUCCGGAAUUAUUGGGCGUAAAGCGCGCGCAGGCGGUCCCUUAAGUCUGAUGUGAAAGCCCACGGCUCAACCGUGGAGGGUCAUUGGAAACUGGGGGACUUGAGUGCAGAAGAGGAAAGUGGAAUUCCACGUGUAGCGGUGAAAUGCGUAGAGAUGNUGGNAGGAACACCAGUGGCGAAGGCGACUUUNCUNGGUNCUGUAACUGACGCUGAGGCGCGAAAGCGUGGGGNAGCAAACAGGAUUAGAUACCCUGGNUAGUNCCACGCCGUAAACNGAUGAGUGCUNAAGUGUUAGGGGGUUUNCCGCCCCUUNAGUNGCUGCAGCUAANCGNCAUUAAGCNACNUCCNGCCNUGGGGNAGUACGGNCCGCAAGGNCUGAAACUCAAAGGAAUUGNACGGGGGCCCNGCACNAAGCNGGUGGNAGCNAUGNUGGUUUAANUUCNGAAGCAANCGCGNAAGAANCNCUUACCAGGUCUUGACAUCCCGCUGCCCGCCUAGGAGACUAGGCUUUCCCUUCGGGGACAGCGGUGACAGGUGGUGCAUGGUUGUCGUCAGCUCGUGUCGUGAGAUGUUGGGUUAAGUCCCGCAACGAGCGCAACCCUUGAUCUUAGUUGCCAGCAUUCAGUUGGGCACUCUAAGGUGACUGCCGGUGACAAACCGGAGGAAGGUGGGGAUGACGUCAAAUCAUCAUGCCCCUUAUGACCUGGGCUACACACGUGCUACAAUGGACGGUACAAAGGGCUGCAAACCCGCGAGGGGGAGCCAAUCCCAGAAAACCGUUCUCAGUUCGGAUUGCAGGCUGCAACUCGCCUGCAUGAAGCCGGAAUCGCUAGUAAUCGUGG
rnacentral:rRNA from 1 species